rnacentral:lncRNA from 1 species
UAAUUAGCAAACUAAGAAAGCAUUAGUGAGUAAAACUCACUUGAUAAAAAGCGGGGACCGGGACACCGCGACGGCAACACGACGACGGCCGAAAUUGGGCUUUCGACGACCUCGGCGGGCUUGGACCGGGCCUUAAAUUUGGCCCAACAAAUCUCAGCCCAACUGAGAUUUAUUCUUGCUUUUAGGCUGGACCCAAAUUGGGCUGGGCCUGCUGAAGACGGGCUUCAAGUUGUGGACUAGACUUCAUUUGCUUUGCUGCAAAUUGGGCCUCAAAAUUUCAAUUCAUGGGCUGCUGGAUUGGGCUUGACCAAAUAACUCACUUGGAUUGGACUGGGCUUAAAAACUUGCUGCUAAAGGUUGGGCCGAAGAUCUGAAGAUGUUGGGCUGAAGAGGCCGAACUUUGGGCUGUCUCACACGGGCUGGAUGGACGCUGGCGCACGGGGGAAGCUGCUGCGUGUGAGCUGCUGCACGUAGGAAAACGGAGGGCGACGCACGCGGCUUUGUUGGUCUUCGAUUGCUUCGUGCGCGGCAGCUGGAAGACUCGGUGGUCUUCAAAUUGCUGAAGACGAGGGAGCAAGGGCGUUGAUGCCGCGAGGAAACGUGGGAGCUUCGGUCACCGCCUGGGAAAAUCUUGCGAACGUGCUGGCAGCCGAAGGAAAAGAAGCGGACGCGUGGGGAUUUCUUCGGUGGACUCGCUUCAUGGAAUUUUGGGGCUGCUUCAGUCAACUAAAGCUUCAAUUGUUGACUUGAGGCAUGAGCUACAGAUGUGGGGUGAUGGUGGAAGAUGGGAUGAUGAUAGAUGGUGAUGAUAUGGUGGUGGAGAUGGAUGGGUGAUGAGGAUGAAAUGAUAGUGGAGACGUGCGUGGCUGCAGGCGUGAAGGAAGUCGUGCGGCAGAGGUUUUCAGUCGUAGAAAUAGAUGGAAAGAAAACAAGAGCAGUUGCUUCGUUGGUGUCAUGGCGAAGGCGCUCGGUUGACGGAGAGAGACGAAGGAACGGUAUACGAAGAUGAAGAUCGACAGAGGCUUGCUCAACAAGCUGAAAGGGAGAGAAGCCGUUCGAAGGAGGAUGAGGCGGCGGUCAAAGCUGCUGGGAAGUCACGGGUGGGGCCAAAAAUCUACAAAUAUCUUAUACACUUAAUUGCUUGGUCCCCACUCUAAGCCUCCAACCUUAUCCUAAGGUCUCUUAAUUCUUUCUUGUCUAAUAAAUCCACUAAUUAACUUAAUUUGAAGCCAAAAUUCCAGCUCUAUUUAAAGCUCCGAAUUUUCAAUUUCUGACUUCAAUAUCUUCGACUAAUUCUCCGUUCGACGUCCAAUUUAGCCAAGGAAAAAGCCCAUAUGAUUAUAUGUAAGUGCCCAUCGCCAAAAAGCUCAGCUUGAAAGUCAAAACUCCUUUAAAUUCGGCCCGUAUGAAUUUCCGUUAAUUUUCCGCGACGUCCGAUUCGAUUUUCCGCUAAAAUCUCAGAAUCUCUGAAAAAUCUUCUGAGACUGAGUUAACAUUCCUAAAAUAGCUCGUGACACCACAGAACUUUCAAUUUUUGAAAUCGGGUUCGAAUUCACGGUUAAUUUCCAUUCGACGCAUUUUUAGCGUGACCUAGACUACUGGGUAACUUUCAGAACUUUUCAGUGCAAAUGACCUGUGGUCGAUUUUCUUCGAGCCACUAUGAACCCACUCGACUCAUUGGCGACUCUCGAUUGUUGUGAAAAUCUCGAUGAUCCAAAUACGGACACAGGGUAUCAAAACGAUAGAGAAACCAAAUUAGUGUCGGCCGACGAGAAUUUUCCAAUUUAGUGGUGUCACCCACGAUUAGCCACACAUCUCAAUCGAACCAACCUAUAUCUGAUCUCAAAUCGAUUUAUAUCUGUGCCGUAAUGAUCUUGACAGAUGAGCACGAUCAAGAAGCUGAUUCCUGGUCGAGUUCUCAAGUCUAUUUGCCUUAAAAUCCUUAAUGGUUUCCCUAGAUAGUCUAGUUAUCUCUGGAAUGAUCAGUUCUGAGAACAGCCCUAUAGAUGCGUAAAUGAAAUGUCCGAUUUAUUCAGCAGAAAACAGGGUUGAAAAUCUGGGAUGUCACAACUCUUCCCCUCUUAUAAAAAUUUCGUCCUCGAAAUUUAAACCUUUACCAUUCCUUAAAUGAAAAUAUGGGGGUAUCGUCGUCUCAUCUAGUCUCACUUCCCUCGGUUUCUUCUUCAGUCCCGUGGUAUUGUUAUACCACUUUGACCAAGGGGACCUUCUUGAUACACCGAAUCUGAUCUUUCUGAUCCACAAGCUGAACCGAACUUUUCAUGUACGACACUUUGUCGUCCACGCCUAAUUCUUCAAGAUUUAGCACGUGGGUCCUGUCAGGCUCAUAUGUCCUCAACAUCGACACGUGAAAGACGUCAUGCAUUUGCGCUAACCUCGGCGGCAAUGCAAGACGAUACAAUAGGAUCCCGAUUCUUUUCAGAAUCUCAAAGGGACCUACGUACUUCGAUUUCAGAUUUCUCCCCUCCUUGCUGAAGCGCAAGGUAUCCCUCAUUGGUGACACCUUCAGAAAGCUGUACUCACCAAUUUAGAACUUUUGGGGCCUUCAAUGCUCAAUAACUCAAUUAUUCUGGUAGUUCUGAGCAGUUUGCACUCUGGCACUGAUCACGGCGAUGGCAACUACUAACUGCUGAACUGACCCUCGACCUAAUCUUUCUUUCUUUGAUCUCAUCUCAACAAACUGAAGUUAUGCACACUCUGCUCUGUUCUGCCUCAAAAGGAACUAUCUGAUUGAUCUGUUGAAACUGGGAACCUCGGUUCUAGAUCCAAUAUAAGUUCAUCAUUAGUACUCCACGCAGACGAACUACCUGACACACAUACACUUAUGCCUGCCUAUUUCAAUCAAGAUCUUUUCAUACUACACUAAAGUGAAUCGACUUCAUCAGUCUAUCAACCCCAUCCAAAAGGGAUCAUUGUUUCUCUGAUUCCCUGACAAGCUAGUCACAAGGUUCAUCAUAACCUACUUCCAUUCCCACUCGGAAUUCUCGCGUGACUGUAAAAGUCCUCCCAGCUUGCAUUACUGAAUUCCCACUUACUAACACAUCUGACACUUACAACCUGUCCGGCGAUAUCUAUUCUUAUAUCGAUCUACCAUUCGAGCUUACGCUGAUUCUGACCUACCUCGCACUGUAUGGUCAAAUACUGCAACUAUUAUAGUGAAUCCCUGACAAGGUCUCUUCCUCAAGUUCCAUACUGUCUGACACUUAUCAUCACUUACGAUACCUCGAUGUUCCAUCUUCCGAAAUCUUAACGUCAACUUUUCCCCUACCGGUAUCCUCUUGCAGGAUUUUCUAAACAUUAUGGUUUGUCAAGUGAAGCGUCUUUCCAGGGUGAUACAAGACAUCUCGAUCACCAUUCUUCUAAAAUUCUAACUCAUGACGCUGUCUUCAAUAUAAUUUCCUUCAAUGGAUUAAACUAUAUCACAUUGCAACAACAAUUCAUUACACAAAAGCUCCUCGAGCUAAAUCUUUUCAUAUACGGUAUCAAAUUUAUACAUAGGCAAAGGAUUCAAGUACAACCAUAACUAGAGAUUCAUUUUCCUACCACUUUAUUACGACAACGGAAAUUUCACAACCUUCACUUAAAAUCCCGCUGCUCUACUCUGAAAAAAACACCUCAAAAACAUUCUUCCUUUGCUCGGUGCCUAGUCAGUCCAUUCCUGUUCUUUUCGUCAUCCUAGUGGUGUUCUAUCUGCGGUGCUUUCCUUUUGUCCAGUCCUCCGGUGAUGGCAUACACUGUACCCUGAACUGGUGGUUUUAGCUUACCUCCUUGCGGCGCAUUCUGAGGUGCAUACCCUCUGAUCUAUCCCAAAGGUGGCGGUGGCGGCAACUGCGGUUGUCCUCUUCGCUUUUUAGGACAGUCUCUGGCUAUGUGGCCCUAUUGGCCACACUCAAAACAGGCGCCCGUCCUUCGAGGGCACUGGUUCGAUCCAUGUCGACUUCCACAAGCGCGACAUAAAUCAUUCCUACUUGGCCCAAACUUGCCAACUCCACCCUUCCCGUUGGACGGGAUAUGAAAUCUAUUUCCAAGCAUGGGUCUUUUUCCUUGAUGGGUAUUCUCUCGAUGGGAGCUAAACCUCAAUCCAGAUGAAGCAGCUUGUUCAUUCAAUGCUCGCUCUAUCAUCUGGGCUCGCCGAUAAACCUCUCUGUAAUCUUUCAAGUCCCAUGGUAGCAGAGGUUGUUUCAAUUCAGCACGAAGACCGCUUUUGAACUUCCGAGCUUUCUCUUCAGGGUCUUCUAUCAGUUUAGGAGCAUACCGUGAUAGUUCUGCGAACUUGACCCCAUACUGGUCAACUGUCAUGCUCCCUUGGCGGAGACAGUAGAACUCCUCUAUCUUUUGUUCCCGAGCAGUACUCGAAAAGUACUGAUCAUUAAAAGCGCUAAGGAAGGUGUCCCACAGUUGGACCACACCUUCCGGGAAUACUAUAUCCUUGGCGGAUCUCCACCAUAUAUUGGCGUUACCUUGAAGUUGGUACACAGCUAGUAACACAUUUUCCUCCUCAUUGCACAUCAGAAGUGCAAAUGCCUUUUCCAAAUCUUGUACCCACAGAGACGCGGCCUCAGGGUCUCCGGUGCCCAUGAAUUUUGGCAGAUUCAUAUUUAAGAACUGAUCCACUAACUGGUGAACCGGCCUCCCAGCGGCCACAACUCCUGGUAGUAUUUCAGCAGGCGUAACGGCAGGUGCAACUACGGGUGCAGCAGCAGGUACGGCGGCAGCUGCGGCAGCAAUGGCAGCGUUGGCGACGGCAGUGGCGGCAGCUUCAACAGCGGCAGUAAAGGCGGCAGUUUGAUCUCGGGCCUGUUGCCCCAUCAUCUCCCGCAUAGCAUCUAGAGCCUGGUUGAUUCCGACAGUUCCUUGCUCACCCGGGGUUGCUACCUCAGCACCAACAAGAGGUGGUGCUACUCUAGCAUCUACAACAGGUGGAAUAAUUCCACUCGCGCUAGCCUGUGCUGGCGCUCGACCAUGGCCUCCUCGGGUACCGACUCUAGUUGGCGCUCCUCCCCGAGUCACGGCCCUACUGGCCCUCUUUGCAGGAGUCCUCGGCUCCUGAUCGUUCAUAGUGUCACUUUAAACAACUAACACCUGCUUCCAAUUCAACACCGAAUUAGAAACAGAGCGAUUCAAACAACAAACAAUUUUAGCACUCAGCUAACACAGACAUGCAUAAGCAUGAAUUUAAAGGCCUUUCCUACCAACUAUCCCAUGGUCAACGCUCCUUAUCACUCCAAUCUUGAACUUCGCUCUGAUACCACAAAAAGGGGAUGUCACGCCCCGAUCCUCGGGGACGCGUCCAUCCUUCUUAUUGGUCGAUUUUAAAGUGCGAUAUCCCAGGACUAAGUAUCGCCGACCCUUUCAUUUUAUUACGCAGGCGGAAGUAGUUAUAAAUCCCCAGACAAUAAAACAAUGGGAUAGAAAGCAGGCCAUAUUUUUCAUAUUGAAAUUCACAACCACACUUUCAUUAACAGCACAACUCAUAGUAUAUUUACAAUACUAUUCACAGCAUACUUGUCUCACACCUAUCUACACCAAGACAGGGUUUACAAAAGGGAUGAGAUCUCAAUCCACUUCCGGGUUAUACUCAAGAUCCCUCUCUGGAUCAUCUUUUUCUUCAAAAGUCUUUCUCCCCUUUAGGUUCCUCCUCCUCAGCUUCUCCUCAGGGUCCUGAAAUGGUUAUUCAAUAACCAAUGAGACCAUGUCUCAGCGAAUUCUACCCCCUAAUACCCGAUUAGUAAACUAAUACACCUUAGGCUGCCUAAACACAUCACGAGUCAGAGGACUUACCUUGGCCUCAGCUCCUUCCUGCAAGUUAGUAUAUAUAUCAAAUAUACAUCAUCACAUCACAUCACAUCACCUAAUCAGAUCGAAUCAUCGAUCAAUCGACCUAGUCGAUUACAUGUCAUCCAAAUUAUCUCUUGAUCGACCCCUUCCAUACUUUCUAUAAGUCUGAUCAACAUCCAAGACUACUCACCCUAGGUGAUAUAUAGAUAGUAUGUUAUCUUAUCUCCAUACGACAUAUAGAGUCAUUGAGCUAUCAAAUCAUACCGUACUGUCUCCAGAUGCUCCGUAGAGUCAUUGAGCCGGUAGAUCAUACCGUGUUGUCUCAAGAUGCUCCGUGGAGUCAUCGAGCCGGUAUACACACAAUUUAUCAUACCGUACUGUCUCCAGAUGCUCCGUAGAGUCAUCGAGCCGGUAGAUCAUACAAUUUAUCAUACCAUACUGUCUCAAGAUGCUCCGUAGAGUCAUCGAGCCGGUAGAUCAUACCGUCCUGUCUUAAGAUGCUCCGUGGAGUCAUCGAGCCAGUAUACAUGCCAUUUCAAGCAAUCAAUCAAAUAACUAAUUUUAUCCUUUCCGAUAAAAUGACGUGUGUGGGUACACGAUCGACCCUAGCCAAAAUAUAAUAAUUUGCUUUUUAUAAAAUCCCACCAUUUUCUGUAGUCCACUAAAACAUUUUUGGUAUCGUUAACUGAUGUUCGGUUAAUUUCCAAUUAAUUUUCCAAGAUUAUUUCAAUUAGGGAAUAAAUCCUAAAUCCUCAAAUAAAUCAUUUCCGCACAAAAUAAAGCUUAAUUAAAUAAACGAAAUGCAUCACGACAAUCAGCAUAAAAUUUUGGUCACCGACCAUCUCGGUUGAAUUUCCGGAAAAAUAAAUAAAUAAAUAAUUUCGAAUGAAUAAAUAAAUAAAUACCAAAAAUCCAAUUUAGGCCCAUUUUGCCUGAUUGGACGCCAGAACGGAUCGAGAAAAAUCCCGAGAUACAUUCAAUAAAUAUUAGAAGCUCUCUACUUGCUAAUGACUAAGUCUAACCACCUAACAUGCAUCAUUAAGUCACUAAUUUAAUUGUUCUAGACUAAUCUAACCACAUAAUUGUACUUAAUUAAAUCUAAUCAACCCCUAAGCAUAAUUAACAAACUAAGAAAGCAUUAGUGAGUAAAACUCACUUGAUAAAAAGCGGGGACCGGGACACCGCGACUGCAACGCGACGACGGCCGAAAUUGGGCUUUUGACGACCUCGGCGGGCUUGGACCGGGCCUUAAAUUUGGCCCAACAAAUCUCAGCCCAACUGAGAUUUAUUCUUGCUUUUAGGCUGGACCCAAAUUGGGCUGGGCCUGCUGAAGACGGGCUUCAAG